UACGUAGGGGGCGAGCGUUGUCCGGAGUUACUGGGCGUAAAGCGCACGCAGGCGGUGCGGUAAGUUCGGAGUGACAAUUCUCGGCUUAACUGAGAAGGGUCUUCGAAGACUGCCGGACUUGAGGGCUCACGAGGGACACGGAAUUCCGGGUGGAGUGGUGAAAUGCGUAGAUAUCCGGAGGAACACCAAAGGCGAAGGCAGUGUCCUGGGGAGUACCUGACGCUCAGGUGCGAAAGCCAGGGGAGCAAACGGG
rnacentral:rRNA from 1 species